rnacentral:rRNA from 1 species
CCUUAUAAGUCUUUACAACUUUCAGCAACGGAUCUCUUGGCUCUCGCAUCGAUGAAGAACGCAGCGAAAUGCGAUAAGUAAUGUGAAUUGCAGAAUUCAGUGAAUCAUCGAAUCUUUGAACGCACCUUGCGCUCCUUGGUAUUCCGAGGAGCAUGCCUGUUUGAGUGUCAUUAAUAUAUCAACCUCUUUGGUUGGAUGUGGGGUUUGCUGGGCUUUUGAGAUCAGCUUCUCUUAAAUGUAUUAGCGGACAAUUUUUUUGCCAAACGCUCAUUGGUGUGAUAAUUAUCUACACUAUUGACGUGAAGCAAGUUCUGCUUAUAACUGUCUAUUGACUUGGACAAAUUUAUUAAUGUGACCUCAAAUCAGGUAGGACUACCCGCUGAACUUAAGCAUAUCAAUAAGCGGAGGAAAAGAAACUAACAAGGAUUCCCCUAGUAACUGCGAGUGAAGCGGGAAAAGCUCAAAUUUAAAAUCUGGCAGUCUUUGGCUGUCCGAGUUGUAAUCUAGAGAAGCAUUAUCCGCGCUGGACCGUGUACAAGUCUCCUGGAAUGGAGCGUCAUAGAGGGUGAGAAUCCCGUCUUUGACACGGACUACCAGGGCUUUGUGAUGUGCUCUCAAAGAGUCGAGUUGUUUGGGAAUGCAGCUCAAAAUGGGUGGUAAAUUCCAUCUAAAGCUAAAUAUUGGCGAGAGACCGAUAGCGAACAAGUACCGUGAGGGAAAGAUGAAAAGAACUUUGGAAAGAGAGUUAAACAGUACGUGAAAUUGCUGAAAGGGAAACGCUUAAAGUCAGUCGCGUUGUCCAGGAUCAACUCUUGCUUUUGCUUGGUGUACUUUCUGGUUAACGGGUCAGCAUCAAUUUUGACCAUUGGAAAAAGAUUAAGGGAAUGUG